GUCACAUUCCGCAUUUCAUGACGAACCAAAUUUAAUUCAUCAUGAGUCUUCAACCCAUUUUUCACCUUGGACCCUCAACUAUGUGUGGUUGCGGCACUGCGGCAUACAUGACGGCAACGGAGACGUUGAGUCGAUCAACAUCCCGGCAACUGCUGGUAACAUAUGUUAGUCCUCACAGUCCGGUUUCAGUCACCACACUGUCCAGAUGGAUUAUAUGACUCCUCUCCCUCGUCGGAC